UUUUAUAUAUUUGUUCUCUUAAUAUAUGAUUAAAAAAAUUUAUAAAUUUUUUUAAUUCAAUCUAAAUUUUUAUUUAUUUUUAUAAAAAUUUAAAAUAUAUAAAUAAUUUUUAAAUAAGUUAAAUUAUUUGUAUUCAAUAUAAAUUUUAAUUAAGCUGAAUAAAAGAAUUAUUAAAAAUAUAUAAAAAAUAAUGAAGGAAAUUUAAAAAUGAAACAUAAAAAAAGUAAAAAAAAUAAAAAUAAAAGGAUAAGAUAGAUAAAAGAAGAAUAGAGGCAAAAUAUAAGAACAAUAAAUCAAUUUUUUUAAAAAUUAUAUAUAAUUAUAAUAAUAAUUAUAAUAUAUAUAAGUAUAAAUAUAAUUAUAUAUAAUUUCUUAUUAGUAUGAUUUUUGUCUUUAUUUUUUGUAAUCUUUCUUAUAAUUUUAUUACAGCAAUAGUUGUUUAUUUUUUAGUUAUUUUUUUAUACAAUUUUUUUGACUCUUUUUUUUACUAUUAUUUAUUUUAUUUAUAUAUUUAUUUUUGUAGAAUUAUUCUGCCGCAACGCGCGGGUCCUUCGCUAGUACAUACAAUAUUUAUG
rnacentral:lncRNA from 1 species